UUUUAAUAGCUUAUUAGAGCAUGAUAUUGAAGAUAUCAAGGAGAUUUUUGAUCUUAAAAUAU
rnacentral:tRNA from 1 species